GAUGAAGAACGUAGUGAAAUGCGAUACUUGGUGUGAAUUGCAGAAUUCCGUGAACCAUCGAGUCUUUGAACGCAAGUUGCGCCCGAAGCCAUUAGGCCGAGGGCACGCCUGCCUGGGCGUCACACGUCGUUGCCCCCCCAUCUACUCCUUCGGGAUUGCGGGGGGCGGAUGAUGGCCUCCCGUGCGCCUCGUCGCGCGGUUGGCAUAAAUGCCAAGUCCUCGGCGACACACGCCACGACAAUCGGUGGUUGCGAAACCUCGGUUGCCCGUCGUGUGCGGUCGUCGCGCAUCGAGGGCUCGAAAAAAUUGCCGGGCUCCGGCUCGGCUUUCAACGCGACCCCAGGUCAGGCGGGGUUACCCGCUGAAUUUAAGCAUAUCAAUAAGCGGAGGA
rnacentral:misc_RNA from 1 species